rnacentral:rRNA from 1 species
AGAGUUUGAUCCUGGCUCAGGACGAACGCUGGCGGCGUGCCUCAUACAUGCAAGUCGAACGCGAAAGUUACCCGCAAGGGUGGCUAGUAGAGUGGCGAACGGGUGAGUAACACGUGGGCAAUCUACCCUCAAGUUGUGGGAUAAUAGCUGGAAACGGCUGCUAAUACCCCUGUGGAUUCGGGAUUCCUUAGAGUUCCGAAUGGAAGGCGCUUUUCAGCAAUGGAAGGUGUCGCUCGAGGAGGAGCCCGCGGCCCAUUAGCUAGUUGGCGGGGUAACGGCCCACCAAGGCAACGAUGGGUAGCUGGUCUGAGAGGAUGAUCAGCCACACUGGAACUGAGACACGGUCCAGACUCCUACGGGAGGCAGCAGUAGGGAAUUUUGGGCAAUGGGGGAAACCCUGACCCAGCAACGCCGCGUGAGUGAAGAAGGCCCUCGGGUCGUAAAGCUCUGUCAGGUGGGAAGAAUCAAGCUUGGGUAACGCCAAGCCUUGACCACCACCAAAGGAAGCACCGGCUAACUCCGUGCCAGCAGCCGCGGUAAUACGGAGGGUGCAAGCGUUGUCCGGAAUUAUUGGGCGUAAAGGGCGUGUAGGCGGCCCAGCAAGUCUGGUGUGAAAGCCCUCGGCUUAACCGGGGAAGUGCAUGAGAUACUGCUGGGCUUGAGUGCGGGAGAGGAAGGUGGAAUUCCCAGUGUAGCGGUGAAAUGCGUAGAUAUUGGGAGGAACACCGGUUGCGAAGGCGGCCUUCUGGACCGUUACUGACGCUGAAACGCGAAAGCGUGGGGAGCAAACAGGAUUAGAU